CAGCCGCCACGGGAAUACGUAGGGUGCAAGCGUUAAUCGUAAUUACUGGGCGCAAAGCGUGCGUAGGCGGUUUGUUAAGUCUGCUGUGAAAUCCCCGGGCUCAACCUGGGAAUGGCAGUGGAUACUGGCAAGCUAGAGUGUGUCAGAGGAUGGUGGAAUUCCCGGUGUAGCGGUGAAAUGCGUAGAGAUCGGGAGGAACAUCAGUGGCGAAGGCGGCCAUCUGGGACAACACUGACGCUGAGGCACGAAAGCGUGGGGAGCAAACAGGAUUAGAUACCCCGGUAGUCCCUGUCUCUUAUAC
rnacentral:rRNA from 1 species